UUGAUAGGACAAAGGUGUAAGUGUGGUAACACAUUUAGCUGAUUGUUACUAAUAGGUCGAGGGCUUGACCUAA
rnacentral:rRNA from 1 species